rnacentral:lncRNA from 1 species
GAGACAGCUGAUGAUGAGUUCCUACCUCAAUUUGAGUGCCUGGAUAUUCUGAGGACAACUUCCAGCUGGGGAGACUGAGGGAGGUCUUCAUGAAGGAGGUGUCUCAACAAAGUGGUAGGAUGAAAAAAUUUGGAGGAGCUAGUGAGAAAUGUGAGAUCGCCAAAAAUCAAGAAAAGUAAAACAUAGUGAAUGUUAGGUGAUGAUAAAUGCUAAGGAGAAGAUAAAACAGUUCUCUGAGCUAAGAGUUCUGGGUACCUGCAGAGACCUGCCUGAUAUCAUCACCAUAGUGGACCCAGAAGCACUAUUCAAAUUGGAAGCAGUCAAUCCACUUAGAGGAUUAUUGUUGUUAUGUAAAUAAACUCUUUUGACUGAGUGAGCAGAGACUUCCAAGCCAGAGCUGCUUUCCAAAUUAGGUUUCCAUUGUCUCAGGAGGAGAAGAGGCACAGAGGCGUCUCCGAGGGCACUAAUGCUGCCCCUGUCUCUGAGAAAGAGAGUCUCCCGCCAGCUUUCCCUGACAGCGGAGGACCAGAUGCCAGCAAAGUGACCUUCGAACAGAGUGGCCAUUGCAAGGCUGAUGACCCAACACCAGGCCAGAGGAAGGCAUGGAAUCACUUCGGAAGGAAAGGCAGGCAAAGAUCUGACAGUGGAUGCUGCUUAUCCAGGACCAACUUUUUCUCUCUUCUCACCUCUGAUACGCCACCCAAUGGGUUGCAUCACGUGUCCCCUGCUUCUUGGACUUCACCCUGGCUCUAGAAGGUUGGUGUGUAUUAUUACAAAUGGGGAUGGGGCAGGAGUCCGGCACUAUAGUAGCUGCCCUAAAUCUCAGUGCAUUUUCAAUGAUGGGUUAUCAGCAUCAGGGAAGAUAUUUUUAGGCAAGGGAUGGCUUUGCCCCACGUAGACAAGCUCUCAUUGCGGCUUUCAUAAGGUCAGCCUAGCCCAGGUUAACGUGGCUUUCAAAAUCACAAAGGGGAAGAAUCAAAGUCUGUCUGCUUUCAUUAAGUCCAACCCUUGCCUGCAUAUUAGAAUAUGUAUAAAUCAACCCUCUCUAGAAGGAUGGCCGGCCUCCAGGUCAAGCAAGGUACAAGGGAUGGGGGGCAGGGCUCCUCAUUAAUGGUGGAAACAAAUGAGGUCAACAUCAUUAAUAGCAGAGCUUCCCCAAUUUAUCUUCAGACAAUCAAACCACUGAGGGAGGGGCUGAUGAGGGAAGCCGAGCAUGUCAUUAGGAUGAGAACUGUUCAAGCUUCUUUUGCUUCUAUGUAACCUCAGAAAUAUGCCAAAGGUCUCCCAAAAGGCUCCCAGAUCAGACCAUCAUCCACCUGAUGCAAAAGCCUUUUUCUGUCUUUGCAUCUGAGCAUCAUGGUGGGAAAUCGUCAAACCAAAACAUAAAAAACACAGGGAAAUUUCACACAGAUGUCUAUGCAGCCCUCUUGAUAACAAUGUCCCCAUCUUAUACGGAAUUAUUGGAAAGCAGGUUGAACAGUCUUUAGAUUCCAAGGGUGGGGGAUGAGAGAAGGCAAGGGAUUCAGACUUUAUGGGAGUUCCUGUCGGAUUUGUUGUUGUUGUUGUUGCUGUUUUGGAGUUCUGUUUCUGGGCCACAAAGUAUCUCUCAGGGUAUGUGUGGGCUUCACACAAAAAUAAUAGAGUCAACAGCCAGCCUUGUUCCUUCAGAGGGAGUUAUUUCUUGACUGUUUUUACGAGCCACCCUAGGAGAAGAAUACUGAUGGAUGGAGACUUCUAUUUCUAUUGUUAGCUUUUGAGGGAAAAGAGAUAUUUUGGUGAUUCAUCCAACAGUUGGAGGGGAAAUCUGCUGAAGGUUAAGAGCAUUAAAUGUAAGAAACACGAAACAAUUAAAUGGCAGAGGAUAACAGACCAAGCCCUAUGCUGGGCAUCAGGGCGGUGGCUCUCCGCCUUGGCUGUCCAUUAGGAUUGUCCUUGGCAUUCAGAAACAAUCCAAUAAAAAAGUGCAAUCCUGUGCCA